CAAGCUAUAAAGGGCCCCAAAAUUACUAGUGUAAAACCAUUCAAACGGGAAAACCAACGGUCUAAUAUAUAUAGUUUAAAUUUGAUGUCACAUAAUUCAUUCUUGAAAGCUUGAUAUGAUGAUAAGCAGCAAUUAAGAGGUGAAACCAUCCGAGAGUCCCUUUGACUUCUCUUAAUGUUAAGUCAUUGGAGGAUAUUGGUGCUAAUGACAGAUCUUUGAAUGUUUCUGUUAGGUUUAUCCACAGCUUUUUUGUGACAUUAGCCAAUUUAGUUUGAUUGAUUGUUGGUUGGUUGCUUUUUGUCCAGGGGCAAAUAUUCUAUGCAAGUUCAGGACAAGUCAUGGAUUUGAUAUAUGGCACUAUUGCCUGUCUAAUGUUCAAAGCUUGUUUUUUUCUGUGUCAUUUGGCUGCUGUCUAAGUGAUAUCUAUUCAAUAAUUAUCAAUAAUUCCAUAAAACAGAUCAAAAUGAAAAAUUCAUUUUAAACUUCACUAAUUUGCA
rnacentral:lncRNA from 1 species